UUCAUUCUUCGUUUAGUACGGUUGUUUAUUCUUUUAUAGUUUAUGCUAUUUGUUUGUUUUCCUGUCCCUCGUAUGCUGUCCAUAUUUCGUUCUUCUUCUCAAGCGCAAGAGCAUGCUCCUUAGGAGCGUGAGUAUGCGCUUUCCAAAGUUUGCAAUUAUUAUUAUUAUUAUUAUUAUUAUUAUUAUUAUUAUUAUUAUUAUUAUUAUUAUUAUUAUUAUUAUUAUUAUUAUUAUUAUUAUUAUUAUUAUUAUUAUUAUUAUUAUUAUUAUUUUAUAUUAUUAUUAUUAUUAUUAUUAUUAUUAUUAUUAUUAUUAUUAUUAUUAUUAUUAUUAUAAUAUCAUCGUCGUCUAUCAGGUCGAAUUUGUUUUUCGUCGAAAAGUUUAGAAUAAACUCAGCAGUAUAACAAUAUUUUUACCCAGCUGUGAGUGAAUAGCCUUUUCAAGACAAAAUCGUUAUCAUGCAGAGAUAAGAAAUCCUAACAUCAUGAAUGUACAGAGAUACAGGCAAUGGGAGAACAGGGACAGUAUGUUUAUUUGACACGCUGUAGGAACUGAUGACAUGCGAAUUCAUGUGGAUGUGUCUAAAUAGUGUUUAAAGUAGGGGUGGACAAAGUUUUCUUUUUGCUGGCCGGUCUCAAAAUUCAGUUUGCACCCAUAUGAGGGGGGCCGUUACAAAACCCAGGCCAAGUGAUUACACAACAAACAUUUGGAUAAUGGAAUGGACAACAAAUGAGUACAUAAUGGGGUUCACUUACCGAAUUUAUUAAAGAGAAGCUGUUUGAAUUUGGUCACAAUAAAGCAGUAAAACCAGCAUUUCCUUUGAUUAAUUUCGUUGAUUAAUAUGAGUCAGGAAGCAGUGUCGAGGUGUUCAUGUAACAUUGUGACUAAACAAAUUAUCUCCCCUUCACAUUCUCGCUUUUAGCUCAGCUGUUUGUUUGUUUACAUGUUUGCCCCAUGAGUCAAUAGACAUUCUGUGACUGCUGACUGUCAGUAAAUAAAAAUAUGAUUACAAAUUUGAUUAUGCUUUGUCAUGACACUUCUUACUGGCUUUGGAUGACUAUAAAGGUUGAACAUGAAUAUGUAGCAGGUUAAGUUAUUGUAAAUAUGUAUUUUAUCUAUAAUGUUCGAAAUAAAAUGUACCACCACUAUUUCAUAAAAUGUUUAAUAUAUUUAUUCCGAAAGUAAUAUUUUGUCGUAAGUUUGCUUUGCAUUGUGCGUCCAAAUUACUUAGAAUGUCAGAGAGUCUUUAUAAUCACCACUCGUUACUAUGGGAGGCAACUCCUACUGUAAUCUAUACAAGGUUGUCUCCUUUCCACUACGCGGUUUGCUGAGCCUGUAGAGUGAGUGCAUUUUUUUUUGUUUGGUUUACUCUCUUUUCCAGGAAAGCGAUGUCGAAAUGUAUACCUGGAACAUGUUGAGGUGUGGUUGCAAACAUCCCCCAUUAAAAAGGGCGGAGAGGCUCGUGCCCGUGAUUUACUGCGAAAAAUAAUUAACUUUGACUCUUGCGCGGCGAUACGCACGUUGACAUGGCUAACCUACUGGUACUUGAACCUCCAGGACAGACAAUACUGAUUGUAAUAAAUACUGUGGACGGCUGGUUGUGAGGACAACAAUGGAACUGAGAGUAAGAGACAGUCGGUGAGACAAGACAUGCACCAGGGUGCUGCCAUGAGCUCCACCAACUGGGAUUCGCAAAGAACUGUGUGUGUGACCACGGAAGGAGAGACAGAGGGACAGAGUGACACACAAGAACGAAGAAACAUCCUGGUCAUACAAAGUUACCAACUCACACACUCACAAGUCUUGAAAAUGUCGGGUUUCCGGUGUUACUGUCGAUUUGAUAUAUUGGACAUGACAUAGUAACAAGCAAAGAAAA